rnacentral:lncRNA from 1 species
AUGGAACUUAAACACUGGGAUUCUGAGAGAGCAGUUACAGAUGGGAAAGAAGCAGGUGGAGCCUUGUGUUUCCUUUUCCUGCAGGCUGAACUCCUGAUAGCCAGAGGAGAGAGACCACAGCUGUGGCAGCCCAACCGAUUCUCACCUUCCCUGCAUGACUUCCUGAGCUGCUGCCUGCAGACAGACGAAGAGCAGCGCUGGUCUGCCAAGAGGCUCCUGCAGCAUCCAUUUGUAACAUCAGCUAAGCCAGCAUCCACCCUGGCACCACUCAUCAACUCAGUGAAGAAGAAGAAGAAGACAAGAAUGUAACAAUCAACUUAUCUCCAUAACCAAGUUAGAGUAGGAUUGUAGACUAGGACUCUAGAGUAGGAUUGUUGAGUAGUUUUGUAGUAUAGGUUUAUAAUAGAGUAGUAUUUUAAUUAAAUAAAAUUUCUCAAGCAUCAACUCCUUUGGAAGAUUCCCCUCCUUCUGACCCCUUCAGAAAAUUCAACAUUUCCUUCUGAAUUGCCAGUUGUCUUUUAUUGGUGCUAAGACAUGCUUGUGGCUUCUUUGGUAUGGUUUGUAAGUGGAGAAGGUUCUUCUUCAUUCAUCCUCUGCAGACCACACUGCCUUUGGAAUAUGGCCCACUGGCCCCUUUAGGUACAUCCGUGUCACUUUCAGUUGUGAAAAAUGCACAUAUUAUGAUUGGCUUUUUGCAAAUAUCACAAUGAAUAUUAUAUGUGUAAUGUUAGAAAGUUAUGCUGUAUUAAUUCUCUUAAGUAGUGUGUUAAAUAUAGUUUUAGGUUCCAACAUAAUGUUAAAAUAGAAACUAAGUAUGUGGGGGGAGUCUUUUUUUUUUUUUUUUAGGAAGGAGAUACUCGCUUUGAGGAACACCUAAAUCUUCCAAAGAAAAGGAAUUUAUGGUUUUCUUAUCAGAAGAAGCUAAUUUCUUCAGGCCUUGCUCAGGCUUGAAGAUGUCUUGGGGAUUAAAGGAAACAGUUGAUAUACAACAGACUAGAGUUCUUGUUUUAAAUAGAAUCUAUGCAUAACCAUGAAGGAUAUAUGACUAUGCAACAGGCUACUGCUUUUAAGGUUAUUCCUUUGUUGACAAGGCAUGCUUUUCAUGACUUAAUGUCCGAGAGCAUCCAGACGUCCAUAAUUCUUUGCUUUUUAUUGUCU